UGUCAGUCUUCAACAGCAGACCUUGAGAAUGCCUUCUUCCAUUUGUAGACACACAGUUACUACGAUAAAUAUUAAUGUAAGAGAAGCCAUAGUAAGAUUUCUGAAGCAAUUCGAAGUACUUAGGAAAAUUAUUAUUUCAUCGUGUUUCGGUUGUGUGAGUGUUUUGGAGAGACAGAGUGAAUGGAUCGCAUAUGUUAAGUUUUAUCACCUGAAGAUAUGAUUACAAUAUUGCGAAGCCAGUCAUGUAUAAUCUGGUAAUAAAGGAUUAUCAACAGCUAAUGCAAUUUCCAGAUUUUUUUUAGAAGAUUUUAACAAAAAAAAUUGACAGAAAUUUUUAACAUGUGUCAACUAAGCCCACAGUGUAAAGUCAUACAUUUUCUGCUGUUAUGAAUAUGAGUGGGAUCAGCACACAAGUAAUUUAUUGUGGAAACAACAGGAAUUUUAUUAGAAGAAAAAGAUACCUGAAACAACAGUCUCAUGCAUUAGUUAUAGCUCACUUGGACUGAAGAAUCUUGAACACCACAGAAAUUCAUAGGUAUCUUCAACGGAGACUACAACAUUAUAGGCUAACGUGAGGAAGAAAUAGAAGAUGAAAUGAAAAUGGAGAAGAAGGAAUGUGGAACAAGAGGAAAAGAUGUAAUACGUGCACAGUAAAGAAGCGAUUGACAAAAUUAUGUUGCAAAAUGUGUCAAAAGCUAAUCUGUUUGAUGCACAUUGAAACUUUUAGCUCUGACUGCAGUAAAAUUCCUGAUGUAUUACCGUAGCCCAAAAGUGACAAUGAGACAGAUUAGUGUGUAAUAUU